UCUUGGGUUGCAGGUGAACUACAACUCCUAUAAAUCCCUCCAAAGACCUCCAGUAUUUUUUGUUUGUCGUGAGGGUUCUGUGUGUCAAGAUAGUUCCAGGUUCAUCGUUGGUUGGAGUUCAGAGUGCUCUUUGAUUGCAGGCGAACUAUACAUCCCAGUACCUACAACCCAUAUAAAUCGUGGUGAAUUCUCCCCAAACUUCUCUAGGAUCGAAUAUAUGGAUUGCAACCAAAUUUUUCACUUUGCGGCAACUGAAGUCAACCUGAGUUCGAAGAAAAAAAUCAGGACGUUUUAGAGGCCUCUGGAAAAGGGAGAUAUAUAUAUAUAUAUUUAAUUCAGGUAAGAGAUGCAUUUCUUUUGGAAAGGGAGAGCGUCUCCCUCUAUUUCCUUUCGCUCUGGACUUCCUCCAGCUCUUCGCUGCUGCUGCUGCUGCUGCUUCCACUGGAUUCGGCCUUCUUCUGAUAACUGAAAUCUAGGCUGUUGGAAGGAAAAAGGGAAGAAGCAGGGAGGAAAUAGAUAAAUACACAAAUAAAAGAAAUAUCCCA